ACUAUCUGGGAUUAUAAGAUAAGCAACACUUGUGGUACAGCGUAUGAAAACCGUAUUUGAGAAAACACGCUAGCUACAGUGUACACAGUGGGACCACACUAUCACACUAUAUAGGGUCUGUACACAUUAACACUUGUUAGCAAGCUCACAGCACACAGCUAUGAUACUCAGUAAGAGUAAGGUACUCUUGGUGUACAUGUAACUGUAAGUAUAAGUAUCCGUCAGUGACAUAAUGGUUACACAGAAAUACAUGACAGUGACAAUAACUAUAAAGGCAGUAACAAGGGCCUACAAGACAUGACGGCCACGUAGCCUUUGUACAUCCUAUACAUGUACAUGUAUGUAUUUUUGGUACAUAAAAGGAAUUGCAAAAAAUAGAAGAAGUAUUUGAUUAUUCGAUAAGAAUCUCAUUAGCAAUGGCAGUCAAGUUCUUCGUUGCAACUCUCAUUUGUGUCCUCCUUGUGGAGACUGGAUACGUGAGAGCUGGUCCACUGAGCACGGAAGUGUUCACCGAGGUAACAGCAACUCGAGGAAAGAGACAAGCUGGAGCUUGUGGUUGUGAUGUCUAUGCCUAUGAUGGACCAACUACAGUGGCAGGGAGCUACUCAUCCGUCAACAAAAUGCACGAUUUAGCAACGACUUUUUCAACGAUCGAGUCGAAUCGCUAAAAAUAAAUGGCAAAUGCACCUACUUGUUCUACGAGCAUACAAACUUUCUAGGUAAUGUUUUCAUCAAGACUCCAGGUUACUAUGCAUCUCUGGCUAACUUUGGCAACAGUAUCUCAUCGGCUCGUGCCCUCCCUCCACAAGGAACAAAUGCAAUCCUUCUCUUUGAGCAUACCAACUACGCCGGACGAAUGGUUGCCCUCUACUCGUCCCAACAAAAUUUGCCUUUCCUUGAUUACAACGAUCACAUCUCUUCGGUGAUUGUGACAGGAGGAUCUUGGACUUUGUAUGAUCACACUAACUAUCAUGGCUCUUACCAGACUAUUGGUGUAGGCUACUACCCUCAACCUCCGGUAGGGAACGACAGGAUUAGUUCCAUUAAGAACAACUGAAAUAGUACUAAAGAGAUCAAUGUAGAUAGGAACAGAAUAAUAUGGUAGCUAAGUGAUUGAUAAGAAACUGUAUAUGAA